rnacentral:rRNA from 1 species
UACGUAGGGGGCAAGCGUUGUCCGGAUUUAUUGGGCGUAAAGAGCGUGUAGGCGGCCAAGCAGGUCAGCUGUGAAAACUCGAGGCUCAACCUCGAGACGUCGGUUGAAACCGCUUGGCUAGAGUCCGGAAGAGGAGAGUGGAAUUCCCGGUGUAGCGGUGAAAUGCGCAGAUAUCGGGAAGAACACCCGUGGCGAAGGCGGCUCUCUGGGACGGUACUGGCGCUGAGACGCGAAAGCGUGGGGAGCGAACAGG